UAGAAUGCGAUAUGCAAUGUGAAUUGCAGAACCAUGAAUCAUCGGAUCUUUGAACGCAACUUGCACUGGUAAAACCAGUAUACUUGUUUCAGUGUGCUCAUUCAACUUCAAAAUCUAAAUGUAAGAGAAGUUCUCUUAUGAAAUAAAUGCUCAUUGUAGCAGUCACAAUCAUUUGUGAACUACUUUGUAGGAAAAAUGACAAUUUUCGCACCUGAAGUCAAGUAAGAUGACCCGCUGGACUUAAGC
rnacentral:misc_RNA from 1 species